rnacentral:hammerhead_ribozyme from 1 species
AUUCAGCUGACGAGUCCCAGGCUGGACGAAACGUGAGUCAAAUUGGAU